ensembl:snRNA U6 U6 spliceosomal RNA
GUGCUCACUUCGGCAGCACAUAUACUAAAACUGGAACAAUACAGAGAAGAUUAGCAUGGCCCCUGCACAAGGAUGACACGCAAAUUCGUGAAGCGUUCCAUAUUUUU